rfam:Felis catus isolate Cinnamon breed Abyssinian chromosome A1, whole genome shotgun sequence.
GCCUGGGUGGCUUAGUCGGUUCAGCGUCUGACUUCGGCUCAGGUCAUGAUCUCGUGGUCCGUGAGUUCGAGCCCCGCGUCGGGCU